GUAGGUGGCAAGCGUUGUCCGGAAUUAUUGGGCGUAAAGCGCGCGCAGGCGGUUCUUUAAGUCUGAUGUGAAAGCCCACGGCUCAACCGUGGAGGGUCAUUGGAAACUGGAGAACUUGAGUACAGAAGAGGAAAGCGGAAUUCCACGUGUAGCGGUGAAAUGCGUAGAGAUGUGGAGGAACACCAGUGGCGAAGGCGGCUUUCUGGUCUGUAACUGACGCGGAGGCGCGAAAGCGUGGGGAGCAAACAGGGAUUAGAUACCCUGGUAGUCCACGCCGUAAACGAUGAGUGCUAAGUGUUAGGGGGGUUUCCCGCCCCCCUUAGUGCUGCAGCUAACGCAUUAAGCACUCCGCCUGGGGAGUACGGCCGCAAGGCUG
rnacentral:rRNA from 1 species